UGGGGAAUAUUGGACAAUGGGGGCAACCCUGAUCCAGCAAUGCCGCGUGUGUGAAGAAGGCCUUCGGGUUGUAAAGCACUUUGGCCGGGGAAGAAGGUAUGGAGUUUAAGAGAUGCCAUAUUUGACGGUACCCGGAGAACAAGCACCGGCUAACUCUGUGCCAGCAGCCGCGGUAAUACAGAGGGUGCGAGCGUUAAUCGGAAUUACUGGGCGUAAAGGGCGCGCAGGCGGUUGAUCAAGUGGGAUGUGAAAGCCCCGGGCUUAACCUGGGAACUGCAUCCUGGACUGAUUGGCUGGAGUAUUGUAGAGGACAGUGGAAUUUCCGGUGUAGCGGUGAAAUGCGUAGAGAUCGGAAGGAACACCAGUGGCGAAGGCGACUGUCUGGACAAAUACUGACGCUGAGGCGCGAAAGCGUGGGGAGCAAACAGGAUUAGAUACCCCUGUAGUCC
rnacentral:rRNA from 1 species